UACGUAGGUGGCAAGCGUUGUCCGGAUUUAUUGGGUUUAAAGGGUGCGUAGGCGGUCCUAUAAGUCAGUGCUGAAAUAUCCCGGCUUAACCGGGAGGGUGGCAUUGAUACUGCAGGACUUGAGUAAAGUUGAGGUUGGCGGAAUUGACGGUGUAGCGGUGAAAUGCUUAGAUAUCGUCAAGAACACCUAUUGCGAAGGCAGCUUACUAAGCUGUAACUGACGCUGAGGCACGAAAGUGUGGGAUCAAACAGG
rnacentral:rRNA from 1 species